GCCCGAUUAGCUCAGCUGGUUAGAGCGUCGUACUAAUACUAGCAAUAGUAUCAAGUCAUGCGAAGGUCAACAGUUCAAUCCUGUUAUUGGGCA